AAACCAGCACCUCAAGUGGUCAGGAGGAUUAUUGGGCCUAAAGCAUCCGUAGCCUGUUCUGUAAGUUUUCGGUUAAAUCUGUAUGCUCAACAUACAGGCUGCCGGAAAUACUGCAGGACUUGGGAGUGGGAGAGGUAGACGGUACUCGGGAGGAAGUGGUAAAAUGCUUUGAUCUCUCGAUGACCACCUGUGGCGAAGGCGGUCUACCAGAACACGUCCGACGGUGAGGGAUGAAAGCUGGGGGAGCAAACCGGAUUAGAAACCCGUGUAGUCC
rnacentral:rRNA from 1 species